UUCUAUUAGAAAUUAUUAAUAGUAAAAUCUGCUCCAUGUUUAAUAAAUAGCCGCAAUUUGUGCUAAGGUAGCAUAAUCAUUUGUCUUUUAAAUGAAGACUAGAACAAAAGAUUUAACAUUUUCAGUUUAUUUACCUAACUUACCUUAUCGAAUUUAUCUCAAAUGUAAAAAGACAUUUAUGUAAAAGAAAGACGAUAAGACCCUAUUGAACUUAACUGCAGUUAAACUGGGGCAGUAAAUUAAUUAUUAUUUUAAUAAAAUUUAUUACACAAAUAUCUAAUAAAAUUAAAUAAUUCAGUUACCAUAGGGAUAACAGCGUAAUAAUUUUCUAAAGAUCUUAUUUAAAAUUUAGAUUACGACCUCGAUGUUGAAUUAAUAACCUAACUAAGGCAAAACUUAAAAAAGGAAGUCUGUUCGACUUUUAAAAAAUUACAUGAUUUGAGUUCAGACCGGUGUAAGCCAGGUCGGUUUCUAUCUUCUAAAAAUUUUUUUACAGUACGAAAGGACCUAAAAAUUUAAUA
rnacentral:rRNA from 1 species